rnacentral:rRNA from 1 species
CAAUAGCGUAUAUUAAAGUUGUUGCAGUUAAAAAGCUCGUAGUUGGAUUUCUGGUUGAAGCGACCGGUCGGGCGUUGAUUCGUCUGCACUGGAGUCGGUUUUGGCCAUCCUCUAGGAAAGUGCGUCUGGUAUUAAGUUAUCGGGCGUAUGAUCCUGGUCUUUUACUGUGAAAAAAUUAGAGUGUUUAAAGCAGGCCUUCGCCUUGAAUACAUUGGCAUGGAAUAAUAAGAUAGGACUUUGGUCUAUUUUGUUGGUUUGCAGACCGAAGUAAUGAUUAAUAGGGAUAGUUGGGGGUAUUUAUAUUCCGAUGUCAGAGGUGAAAUUCUUAGAUUUUCGGAAGAUAAACUUAUGCGAAAGCAUUUACCAAGGAUGUUUUCAUUAA